rfam:Micromonospora carbonacea strain JXNT-1 contig1, whole genome shotgun sequence.
CUUGACCGAGCCGAGCCACAGCGGCUCCGCCCCGGCCCGGUCCUGCCCGUAGGUGGCCAGCAGCGCCUGCGCCUC